UAAUAAGUGUUUUUAUGGCACUUUUUAAAUCCAUAUACCACCUUGUGUGCAAUGUCAGUCGAUCUUCUUCAUGGAGAUCGACCAAACAUCAACCUUAUCUUUUAACCUACUUUGUCUGAAAACUAUUAUGAAUAAACUAAUUCAAAAUA
rnacentral:misc_RNA from 1 species